GCACACGUGGCGGAAUUGGUAGACGCGCUAGCUUGAGGGGCUAGUGAGAUUUAUCUCGUGGAAGUUCGAGUCUUCUCGUGUGCA
rnacentral:tRNA from 1 species